GCCCCUGUAGCUCAAUGGCUCGAGCCCCACGUUUCUACGUGGGAAGUUAAGAGUUCAAAUCCCUCCAAGAGCA
rnacentral:tRNA from 1 species